GCGGAGGCUUACCUGCAGUCGAGCGGAGUGAUGGUGCUUGCACUAUCACUUAGCGGCGGACGGGUGAGUAAUGCUUAGGAAUCUGCCUAUUAGUGGGGGACAACAUUUCGAAAGGAAUGCUAAUACCGCAUACGUCCUACGGGAGAAAGCAGGGGAUCUUCGGACCUUGCGCUAAUAGAUGAGCCUAAGUCGGAUUAGCUAGUUGGUGGGGUAAAGGCCUACCAAGGCGACGAUCUGUAGCGGGUCUGAGAGGAUGAUCCGCCACACUGGGACUGAGACACGGCCCAGACUCCUACGGGAGGCAGCAGUGGGGAAUAUUGGACAAUGGGCGCAAGCCUGAUCCAGCCAUGCCGCGUGUGUGAAGAAGGCCUUAUGGUUGUAAAGCACUUUAAGCGAGGAGGAGGCUACUGAAGUUAAUACCUUCAGAUAGUGGACGUUACUCGCAGAAUAAGCACCGGCUAACUCUGUGCCAGCAGCCGCGGUAAUACAGAGGGUGCAAGCGUUAAUCGGAUUUACUGGGCGUAAAGCGCGCGUAGGCGGCUAAUUAAGUCAAAUGUGAAAUCCCCGAGCUUAACUUGGGAAUUGCAUUCGAUACUGGUUAGCUAGAGUGUGGGAGAGGAUGGUAGAAUUCCAGGUGUAGCGGUGAAAUGCGUAGAGAUCUGGAGGAAUACCGAUGGCGAAGGCAGCCAUCUGGCCUAACACUGACGCUGAGGUGCGAAAGCAUGGGGAGCAAACAGGAUUAGAUACCCUGGUAGUCCAUGCCGUAAACGAUGUCUACUAGCCGUUGGGGCCUUUGAGGCUUUAGUGGCGCAGCUAACGCGAUAAGUAGACCGCCUGGGGAGUACGGUCGCAAGACUAAAACUCAAAUGAAUUGACGGGGGCCCGCACAAGCGGUGGAGCAUGUGGUUUAAUUCGAUGCAACGCGAAGAACCUUACCUGGCCUUGACAUAGUAAGAACUUUCCAGAGAUGGAUUGGUGCCUUCGGGAACUUACAUACAGGUGCUGCAUGGCUGUCGUCAGCUCG
rnacentral:rRNA from 1 species